AUAUGAACAAAAGUUGACUGCAGUUUGGCUAAGAAAUGAAGGAAUUUUAAUUUACUUGGAAGAUGGUGGCUCCCAUGGCUUCAAAUUCUUUGUGCAGAAGAAGCUUGGAAGAAUCGGUUUUGGGUUUGAUUGGUCGCACAUAGGCAUAGGUUGGAUGUCCCAAAGAGACGCUUGCCUUCAACAUGUAUUUGCUCCGAUUAUGAGUAUCUUGCUCUUUUCACAAGCCAUCAUAUCCCAGACGACUACUGUUCUGAGAUAUUGAUGAAUACUGAUUGUGAUGACAAGCUUAUUCUCACAUCCUUAAAUAGGAAAACGAGUGCACAUGCUGAACCCAAAGGUAUAAUAUAAUUGGUAAGUUAAUUACAGUUUGAAUCCCAGGAGUUUGGGGUCAAUCACAGAUUAGUCCCUACUUUUCAAAAUUUGGCCAAAAUUACCCAAAGGUUAGGAGUCCUUAGAAUCUUUGCCCCUCUUUGUACAACAUAUAUCUUUUUCUAUAUAUAUUUUUUAAUACAAGUGAUAUUGGAGGUAUAGAGAAUCAAACCUAAGACUUUAGGUGUAGGGCUAAAUGCUUUUUACCACUUGAUCUACAAGUAACUUGUAGGUAACAAAUAUCUUAAUUGAUAUUUACAACUCAAGACUACACUCGUUUUCUCAACUUAUCAAGAACGCACUUUUCGAAAUUCAGAGAAAAUUGCUAUAUUGACUAUUGUCAUGCCUUUUCUAAAUGUGUAUAAAUGCACUGAUGCUAAAUAUAGAAACUCGAAAUGACUACAAGAAAAUAGGCCUUAGUUGACACUUAGAGUUGACCCUUUUUUUCCAAAAUCAUCAAUUAUUUUACGAAACUUUGACGCUUUUUUAAAAGCGUCAACUACUUAGCAGUAGGGCUUGUCAAUGGGCCGGCCAGGCUAGCUCGGCGCAAAUUUAAUGGGCUUGGGCCGGGCCGGGCUUUAAAGAGGAGAGAGAAAAUAAUAGGGAGGGCCGGGCUGGGUUUCUUUAGAAAAUUCAAAGCCCAGGAACAACUCAUGGGCCGGGCUUGAGAAAGACCAUUGGGUUGGGCUGGGCCAAAAUGGGCCUACUUCAUUCGAAAAGAAGAAGAAGAAGAGGAGAAAGAAACAAUGUGCCAUUCAAAAAGAGGCACUCAGCUGCAUCACAAUUAAACCGCAACACGUUUUAAGAAAUAAUUUUAAAAAAUAAUAAGUAUCAAAAAAAUAUUUUUAAAAAAAGGAUGGUAUGAAUAAAUAUGCAAAUGCUUGGUGAUGGGUUUAAGAAAAGCAUGAUUAUAUUCGUCAAUAUGAUUAUGUUUGGUGAUAUGAUAUGUUGUUCGUCUUAUUCUUGAUUUAUAUAAUUGUUGUAUUAAUAAUUGACACAAAUUAAUGUGCUAAUAAUCCAAUUAUAAACUACGAAUGAGUAAAGAAAAGUAAAUGAAAUGAAACAAAACAAGAAACCCAAAAUAAACACAAACAACAAUUUCUAUAACCCUUUAACACCACUGUAUCACCAUGGUAACACCAGUUUAUCACGUUUUAGGCAGAGACGAAUUAUGAACUUCCUCUGUUUUUCAGUUUUGACAUAUGUCCAGUUUUUUACCUAUAACUUUUCAACCGUUUAUGCAAAUUUUGUGUUCUUCAUAUGGUUGAAUUCAGUAUAGAAAAAUGAAGAACAAAACCCGGACCAAAUGUAAAACAUAAUAUUUCAAAGAAGUAACACACACACACACACACACACAAAUGAAAGCGGGGAGGUUUGUGAUUCAAGUGAUAUAAUCAUAAUCCUAAACCCUUAUUUAUACAUAAUUAUAUAUGUAUGUGGGCCUAAUGAGCAGGGCUGGGUCAGGCUUUCUUGGGCUUAACCGAGUGGGACCUAUAGGCCGGGCUGGGCUUUAGACACCCAAGCCCAAGCUCAGUCCAACCCAAUGUGGGCCGUGCCAUCCCAAAGGCCAUAACGGGCCAGGCCAGACGGGCCCCCAUUGGCCCGUGAGCUAGCAGGCCAAGUUAUGAGGCCUACUUAGCAGGUUUACUUUACGUUUUACAAAAAAACGUCAACUAUAUAUCACUUUCCCUAACACUUCAUCGAGAAGGUCAACUCUAUAUCACUUUUCCUUGACAUUUUAUAAAGAACGUCAACAUAUCACUUUUCCCUGACAUUUUACAAAGAAUCAAUUAAAAUCCUUUUGUACCUAACACUUUAUAAAAGAUCCUCAGGAAAACAAGUGCAAUAGUUCUCAGGUUUUUCAUUUCGCUCGAAAUUUAUCUAAAUAUUUUUCCCUACAUUCAACUCCUCUUCCUCUUGGUCACCACAUUUUCCCUUCAUUCUUCCAAAACAAAAAAUAUCAGAGUCCCUAGGGUUUUCCACACUUUCUUCAUUUCUUAGAUUGGAUACAAAAAUCCGAAGAGAAAAAAAUUGUGAAUCACAAAUCUUAGUGGGCUCAUGCUCUGCUAGUCGGGGCGGCAACAAUUCAAGUGUAUUUGUUAUCUAUCCAAAGUUAUUAGUUCAGAUGAAUUUUUUUUUUCCCAACUCUCUUUCAUCUUUCAUUCUCUACACACUACUACAAAAAGAGAAAAAGACGACCAGAAUACAAUGAUGGUAUAAAUAAAUACUGUCGUUGUGUUUAGAAAGACGAUAGUAAUAAAAAACCACCGUGGAUAAAUAACUUAAACACCUAAAAAAUCGAGAUCAGUUUGGGUAUUUCUAAAAUAUGACGCACCAAACUAAAAAGGCGUCUUCUUAUUAAACAUGUUUUCUCCAGACAUAAACUCUUAACCUCAAAAACAAUGACAGCAGGUAUGAAGCAACCGACGUAGAAAGUAAAGACAAUGUUUUACCAAAACUACCGCCGUGUUAGCUGCUAGUUAAACAUGACCAACUAUUCUUAACUAGUGUAGUAUAAUUUUAAUGGAAUCUAUGUUGGUAGAUUCGUAAUCAGCGUCAUAUUAAAGUCAUAUACUACGACGGUAAAAAUAAAUUUAUCGACAUAUUAGGACCUCAUGUACUACGACGGUAUUUAUAACAUUAUUGUCAUAUAGAGUAAUAGCGAACCACGGCACUAGUAGCGUAAAUAAUGAUGUCUAAAUGUAAAAAUAUUCACGUUGUAUUUUUACUAUAUCAAGAGGUAUUAAGUUAGUACACCAUGAUGGGUUGUUUGUACCUAACCACGUUGGUGUCUUCACUUAUAGCAUAGUAUAAUAUUAUUUUUCCACUUCGUUAAUUGAAAUAUACCGUUGUCUCUAUAUCCUUUAUACAACUGUCCUUUUCUGAUUACCAUCAUCUGAAAUUUGUAUUGCUUUUUAAGAUUUAUUUUCUGGAUUUUGGUAGCCUAUGAAGGUAGAUCAACAAAAUGACAAGUAUGGAGUAAAAAAGCUGAUGGUUUAUAUAGAAAACUAUCGUAUGCGAUAUAAUUUUAGGCUUUUUUACUAAAUGAAAUCGUCAGAGAAAUGCAAAUGAGAUCCCAAGAGAUAUGAAAUCUUACCAGUGGGAGCUAUGUUCCUCAUCACAAUCGAACCACCAACAUGAGAAGGACAAUAUUUUGAAAGUUAAUGAUGUGUGUGUCAUCAAUAUUUUGGACCUUUAGAGACGUGAGAGAGAUACACACAUAGUAACUUCCAAAUUAUUGCCUCCCACCCAAAUCCGGACCUUCAGAGAGGUAGAGCCAAGGGCGUAUGGGACUUGAGUUAGAGUUGGAACCCUAAUAGAAAAUCAAAAUUGAAGAAAAGCCCCAAUUUAUCUUUACAUCCAGGGGUUUAUUCAUAAAGAGCGUAGUCAGAACCGUCGUCGUAUUGAUCUUUGGGACAAUAUAUAAACUUUUUCGUCACCUGACCUAAACUUUUACGUUCUCUCUAAAACUUUCAGUCUUCUCUCAAUUUCCCUCUCAUUUGCCAAAAGUUGCGCGUCUGAUUCUCUUCAUCUUCCUCGUCUUCGCCUCCAAAACUCCAAAGUUAAUUCCGAAGAAAACUUUCUUUGCAAGCCAAAGUUAUUUUCUCAUACUUUUUUCCCCCCAAUAUCAUUUGAAGUUUUUUUUUAAAGAACAAGUCCCACUGAGGUUUGAAACCAGACUUAGGUUUGAAAAGGAUGAAAUCUUUCACUGGUCCCACUCUCAGGUCGUGUGAGGAUAACGGGUUUGUCUUGUAUUUGACAUUUUUAUUCACACACUACGACGGUAAUUAAAUUCGUGCUAUUUCAAUAGCACGACUGCUCUUGAUAACCGAUGUGGUGUGAGAAUAAAUAUGAUGUUUUAAAGAUAAAAUCGUCGUCUUAUUUGAAAUGUACGUGGGAGAGAGAAAUCUGGGUGGUUUUUUAUAUGCAUGAACUCAUAAUAAGACGACGGUUUUAUAUAAUUAGCGUAGUUUUAAUUAUCUCACCAUGGCUUAUUUGCACAUCCACGUUUCUAUAGAUUAGCACGACGGUGUUGUUUUUUUUUUUUUCCGAUGUCUGAACUUUAAUAUUAUGUCAGUUUGUUUACUUAACCGUCGUUGUUGUUCUUGCAGUUUGUAUUUCCCUCUAAACAUGGUUUCUAAAUCUCAAAGUAAGGAGGCUCAAGUGCCAAAAGGUCAAAGCAAGGACCACAUGAGUAAAGCCAAAUCUAUUCAAAGCAAUCCCACAAAGAAGAUGAUAUUUACUUCAACCUCCGAGAAAGACCCAAGCUCUGCGACAUUUGAUGAGGAGACAAAAUCGACUCGCAUUAUCAACACAAUGAGCCGUGUUGUGAAGAGGAAAAUCCAGAAGAUUAAGCCUGUGGUUGAGUACAAUAAAAGUGGCAGACCACAUGGCAUGGUUUCUAUUGAGAUGCAGAGUUACAUUGGUGUUUUGGCACGCACCAGAGUUCCUCUUGUGGACAAGAAAUGGACUCAAUUGCCCAAGGACCUGAAGGAGCAGAUUUGGGAAGCUGUUCAAAUGGCUUAUGUUGUUGGGUAAGGGGGUAAGAAGAUGGUGCUAUGCAUUCUGAGCAGUCACAGAGAAGGGAGAAAUGCGAGUACAACCAUAGGUUGUCUUGAAAAGGGUAUGUUGGUUUGUAGGAUCCAUUGGAAGAAACCAUGCCUGAUGAAGAAAUCGAUCGAUCUCUGCUAUGGAAGAAGGCAAGAGAAGAUAAACAGGGAAACAUCCCUGAUCUAAAGGUUUCAGAGAAGGGAAAAUUAAUCGUAAGUCUCACUGACUCUGUUCUAAACUUGUAAAACGGAGGUUUUAUUUUUCAUUUAGACGUCGAUCUUUUUAGCAACCGUUGUUAGACAUGAAACCCCACUACGGUUUUUAUUUACCGCUAUUUUAAAAAUGAUUUAACGUCAGUAUUUUUAUGAAAUCGAUGUAUGUAUUGAAUUAUCACGACGGUUUAUAUUUCUGAGUUAGGCAUUUAAAUUAAAGUUUAAACUUUCUUCAUAUUCAUUUAGACGUCGUACGUUUUAGUAACCGACGUUAGACAUGAAAUACCACGACGAUUUUUAUUUCCGCCGUUUACAAAUUGAUAUGACGUCGGUGUUUUUGGUAAACCUACGUCUGUAUUGAAUUACAAUGACGGUUUUGUAUUUCUCUGUUAGACGUUUUAAAUUAAAUUUUAAACUUUCUUCAUAUUCACACGCACACACACUAUCUCUUUGUCUCUCCCCUCUCUCUCUCUCUCUCUCUCUCUCUCUCUCUCUCUCUCUCUCUCUGCAAUUGGUUUGUACACUAUUUCUGCAUCUAUGAAUAUUUUGGUUAAGGUUUUUUUUCUUUCUCUGGAUGUCAAAUAUACGAUGGUUUUUUCAUGGACCGACGUUAGAAUUCAUGCAAAAUGACGGUAGUUUCUGACUGACGUAUGUGUUAAAGGAUUUACUACGUCAGUUUUUUAAAUAACCCGUUGUCUUAACUUCUUUACCACGUCGGUUAAUAUAUUUUGUAGUUGUUUAUUUAAUCUGGUUUACUAUCUGUUCACUCACUAACAUUCUAAGGUUUAAAAUGAUGUUUCAAUCACAUAAGACAUCUAAGAGUUUGACUUGGCAUGCUGCUAGAAAAGUAGUUGAUGGUCAUAUGUCUCAUCCAGCGGAUUCCCUAUCUUGGAAACUUGUUGAUGAUAAAUGGCCCGAGUUUGGUAAAGAGCUGAGAAACUUGAGAUCUCUCUCAUCUGAUGGAUUCAAUCCCCACAAUUCUUUAAGUAGCAGAUAUAGUUGUUAGCUAGUUAUCUUAGUUAUAUAUAAUCUCCCACCAUGGCUAUGCAUGAAACGGAAGUUCAUGAUGUUGACCUUAUUGAUUUCCGGUCCUAAACAGAUAUAGAUGUCUACUUAGAGCCUUUGAUUGAUAAUUUAAAAUUUCUGUGGGAUGGGAUUAGAGGAGUGUAUGAUAAACACAUAGGAGAAUACUUUACAUUCAGAGGUGUACUACUGUGAACAAUUAAUGAUUUUCCUACUAAUGGGAACUUAUCUGGUUGUAUCGUUAAAGGAUAUAAAGCUUGUCCAAUAUGCGGCGAUGAUACACCUAGUCACAGGUUGAAAAUGGCCACAAAAUUUGUUACAUUGGGCAUAGAAAAUGGUUACCGAUCAAUCAUCCAUAUCGGAGGCAGCGUGCAGCUUUUAAUGGAAAACCUGAAUAUGCCACGCUUCCCGAGCCAUUAACCAGAGAAGAAGUGCUGCAUAUGGUUGAAGAUAUUAAUUAUGUAUGGGGCUCGAAAAAUGAGGGAAGUGUUGGUGAGAAUGAUGGUGACAGAGUUUGUUGAAAAAAGAAAUUAAAGUUCUUUGAUCUCGAGUAUUGGAAAUACCUUCCUAUGAGGCAUGUUCUAGAUGUUAUGCAUAUUGAGAAGAAUGUUUACGAUAGUAUCAUUGGUACAUUGUUGGAGAUCCCUGGAAGAAAUAAAUAUGGGAUUACUGCUCGGUUAGAUUUAUUGAACAUGGAGGUCAAAGCUGAUUUGCAACCAGAGUAUGGGGAAAGACGUACUUGCUUGACUCCAGGGCCUUGGAAUUUGUCAAGAACAGAGAAGAGAGCGGUUUGCAAUUCUUUCUAUGGUAUGAAGGUCCCUGAAGGUUAUUGUUCAAAUAUAAAAAAAUCUUGUAUCUUUAAAAGAUUCAAGACUUCUUGGACUUAAAUCUCAUAAUUGUCAUACCUUGAUGCAACAAUUGCUCCCUGCGGCAAUUCGUUUUGUUUUGGAGAAGCCUGCAAAGUAUGCAAUAACUCGAUUGUGCUUCUUCUUCAAUGCUAUAUGUGAUAAGACAGUAGAUGUUUCCAAGCUAGAUAAGUUGGAAGAAGAUGUUUGCUUGAGAAGUACUUUCCCUCUUCAUUCUUUGACAUCAUGGUUCAUCUAGUAGUACAUCUUGUUAGAGAAGUUCGUUUAUGUGGGCCAAUAUAUUUUAGAUGGAUGUAUCCGUUUGAAAGAUAUAUGAAAGUACUAAAGAGGUAUGUUCAGAACCGUACUCGUCCCGAAGGUUGCAUUGUUGAGCGAUAUAUAGCUGAAGAAGCUGUAGAGUUUUGCACCGAGCAAUUCUCUGAUGUUAGUAUAGUUGGAGUGCCUUCAAAACAGAAGAUGAGAGUUUCGAAGCCAUUAUUAGGUUGCACAGUAAGCUUAGUUGAUCGGGACUUGUUGAACCAGGAACAUCUAUAUGUCUUGGAGAAUACGGAGGAAGUCCUACCUUAUAUCGAGUACGUAUGAGUUUUAUUUUUCACAUGGAGCCAUUUCAAAUAUUAUUAUUCCUUAUGUUUAUCUUAUAUACAAGGGACCGUAAUGCUUGAUUUUUUCGUGUAAAUGUAGGGAACAUAUGAUCCACAUCAAGACCACUUAUCCAAAAUUUAGAAAGAGAACAAACUGGCUGCAAGAUAAGCACAAUAACACUUUCAUUCAAUGGCUACACUUUAAGGUAUAUAUGUUAUUGAAUGACAUAUUCAACUUUUAAUUUUCUUCCUUUCUAUAUGUUAGAUUGAAUUAAGAUAUAUACGAUUAAUUUGUAGGUUCAAAAUGAACUUAAUGGGGAAGAGCAUAAUGGUGUAUCAGAAAAUUUGAGGUGGCUAGCAGCUAGUCCAAGCAUGGCAGUGCCAUCAUAUAGGAGCUAUCUUAUUAAUGGUGUUAAAUUUAACACCAAGGCAUAAGAUAAUGUGCGAACUGUCCAAAAUAGUGGAGUUUAUUUACUUACACAUACUAUGCAAGUUGCUAGUGCUAAGGAUGAAAACCCUAUUGUCUCCAAUAUGGGGUUUUAUGGUGUUAUUCAAGAAAUUUGAGACCUUGACUACCAAAAGUUUAGAAUCCCAGUUUUGAGGUGUGAUUGGAUAGAUAACACUUCGGGCCUUGUAGUCGAUGAACUUGGAUUUACCCUUGUAGAUUUGAGUAAAAUUGGACAUAGGAAUGAAAAAUUUGUUUUGGCUUCUCGAGUCAAACAAGUAUUUUAUGUUGACAACCCAAUGCAUCGUUGUUGUUGGUAGUGUUAUCAAUGCCUAAUAGAGAAUAUAAUGAUGUUAUUGGUGAUGAUGUGCUAGGUGAUAUUUAAAUUGAGUGAAAGCCAUUUACUAGAGGGAUACUAAAUGUUGACACAUUUGAUGACCUAGUGGGUGAGUUUGGGAGUGAAAAUAUUAGAGAUGGGUGUGAAGAUAUAUGGAUUGAUUGAUUGUUGUAAUGUAUGACAUUAGUUAUUCAGUUAAUUGUAUGACAUUAAUUAAUAACUAUGUGCAUCAUUUUAAUUUUGAUCACAUUUUCAUUAUGCAGGCUUUGGGCGUAAAAAAAAAAAAAACUGGAUUAAAGGUGUAAAGUACAACGGUCUAGUAAAAAAAAAAGGGAAAAACAGACGUCCAAAAUAAAACCAAUGUCAGGUUUUCAAAAACGUCAUGGAAAGAAAAUGCAAAAGAUCGUAAAGAAAUAAAAACCGCCAUCUGAAAUUGAAAACACGUCGGGUUGUUGGGUAGUAUAAACAUUAGAUACCGGCUACAAAACAAAGAUCGUCGUAUAUUCCAGAAUAACACGACGGUGGAUUACUCCAACCGACGAUUUUGUUAAACACUACUUCCACGCUUAAAACCUACUGUCGUCUAAAAGGGGAAAUAAAGGCAGCUCAAUUGCAUUAACUGUCGUGACACAUGUUCUGCAUGUCGGCUAGUCUAAAACAACUGACGUCUCAGAUCAUACACACAUCAAGGAGGGUAAAACAAGCGACUUUUAAAAGGAAACCCACGUCAUCAUGUAUUAAUAACCGACGAGGUGAGAAAUUACAAUGUCACGCAAUUGGAUCCACGUGAUGUAGUGAAAAAAUUAACCACGUCCUGUAUUUUUAGACCACCCAACAUUGAAUACAUAAUCCACGUCGGUUCUUUUUCUAUUAACACCUUCAAUAUUUUUUGUAACGUCAGUCUUUGACAAUAGCAGUCGUGGGUACGAUUUGUUACGGCGGUAUUAAGUAAUAUUAUGUCAUUUUAUACUUGUUAGACGUCGGUUCUGUAGCAAGAGCGAUGUCUAACUCUAUCAAAUGAGCUUCUUUGUAUAAUUUAAACGACGAUUCUCACAAGAAACAAACGUAGAAUAUGGUUAAAACAUCGUUGUUCAACUACUCUGCGACGUGGAUAAUCACAUAAGCGACGGUUUUGCCAAAUGCGGGACGUGGUUAAUUUAUUUUAUGGUGGUUACUGAGUGACUACUGACAUGUAAUAUGCUUUAAACAUCUGUUGGUUUGUACGACGGUUUUCACUUAGACCGUCGUUGUUUUCUGGUCGUCUUUUUCACUUUUUGUAGUAGUGCCACUACGGUUUUUAGGUUAUCCAAGUUUGUUUUCCUUUAAUUAGGAUGUGGAUAAUUAUCUGUACGUCGGUUCUUGUUUUGAUAUUGAUAUGUAAGACUCUUUAGACGCCUCAGUUUCAAUAAAAUCGUCGUCUAAUGUUGUCAAAGAUUUCAUUUUAGGCUAUAUAUAUAGUAAUUACACGUCGGUUCGUAAUAGUUUUGGACGUUGAAUGUAUUAACGACGUCGGUUAAUAGCCGUCGUUGUUUUAUGUAAAAAAGAUGACGUCCGAUUUCACGAUGGUUUGAAAAUCUUCUAGACGACGGUGGUUUCCCGUCGUCUAUUUCGAUUUUUGUAGUAGUGUUUAGUUUUAGGACUCAUAGCAACUAGCUCUUGGCUGUGAUUCUUUUAUCUUUAUUAAAUUUAUUGUGACAAGCAUUUGAAUUGAAGUAUGAAGAAUUUUUUAGUUUUUUUUUUUUGGUCGAAAACAUUUUUUAGCUAGUAUGAAGGUUUUUCUUAAAUUUAUCGUGACAAGCAUGGACGGACCCGGAAUUUUAAAACGGAGUGGGCUAAAUUUAGGUAUUAAGUGGAUAGAAAACUCAACAAUACCAUGUGAUUUCAUAGAUAACCAAAAAAGAAAAGAAAAAAAAAAGCGAGAACAAUAAAAUCAAUUACAAAUCCUAUUUGAUAAUUCAUAUAUAACUCAUAAACUGAAACCGAUGCCCCAAUUGCAAAUCCUAAUUGAUAAUUCAUAAGUGUCAAUUGCAAAUCCUAAUUGAUACUUCAUAAACUCCAAAAAAAUCCUCAAUUAAAGCAUCAAGAAAUUGAGAGAAGCUUACAUGACGAAUAUAGGAACUUGGUUAACUUGAAUUAAGUCUUGAAGGUGAGUGCAACAGUAACAAGAGCGUUAUUUUAUUUUUUUUCCUCUACAUGCAAGGGUAGGGUAGUGCUUCUUUUUUUUCUUUUCUUUUCUAUGUGUUGUGUGUGAGUUAUUUCUUUUUUCUUUUUUUUUUUCUUUCGCUGUGCUGUGUGUGAGUUCUUCCCCACUCUUUUUAUUGACUAGGGAGGAGAACUAGAUGAGGUUAGGUUAUUUAAAUUUGGGUGAGCUAGGAUUUUAUUUUUUUGGCUGGAUAAAAGAAGCCACAUAUAGCUAGGUUUGCCAAACUAAAGGUCCAUCCUGGGCUAUAGCCCAGAUUUGCCAAACUAAAGGUCCGUCAAGCAUUUAAGGUAAUUUAAAAGCUAUUAGUAUCCAUUAAAUCUGGUUCCCCCUAAUAAUACAAAUCCAAAUGUUAGGUUGAAAUAAUUGAGUAUCUACCAUUCGGAUCUGCCCUAGCUGCCCCACUUGAUAAUAGCGAAUCUCAGAUUUAUCAUCUAUUAUCUAUAUAACUUACACGGAAUGAGCUACUGCUUUCAUCUCAUUUUGCAACCUUCAAAAGACCCUUAGCCUUUUUGUUUCCAGUUUGGAACCCAUCCAAUCCAACCAACCCCAUAUACGGCCAGCGAUGUCUGUGAGUAAGAUUGAAGACAAGAGUCCGGCGGCAAUACUAGCCAUUGGUACGGCAAACCCAGCCAAUUGUUACUACCAACAAGAUUAUCCUAAUUUUCUAUUCCGAAUCACCAAUAACGACCACAUGACAGAUUUGAAAGACAGGUUCAAGCGCAUAUGUAAGUGGUACUCUUUGUACAACACGUAUAUACAUGCAUAAAAUUAAUGUAUUAAUUCAUACUAAUUAAUAAAAUUAUAUAAUGCACUAAGUGAUUUAUGAUUUACUAAUCGGCGGGGCAUUCAGAUUUGGGACCUCUUCCAAAUAUCAUGCAAUAAGUUAACCCAUUUGAAAAUGACAAAGUUGGGAGAAAUAUAUUUAGUUAUCCUAUACAAUCACAUGGUGUGGCUAAUCCAUGUGUUAUAAUAUGAGUUGAUAAGAGAGUUAAUAUUUCAUGAACACAUGAUACAUUAUUAUUAUUAUGAGUAUUUCUAUUUAAACUCCACAUUUUUCUUUGUUUAUUCCAAUACUUAAAUCAUUAAGUUAUUAAGUUUUAUUAUUGUAUAAAAAGACAAAAAAGGUCAUCCAACUUAAUAUUUAACCCUAGUAUAUCUACACACACACACAUCACCACUCUUCAUAUUAAGUUUUAGAAAAACACAAACUCCUCUACAUCCUAUUGCCAAAUUACUCUUCUUUUUCAAUUCAAGAAACGUACUACAUUCUUAUUUUCUCUUCACAAACCCAAAGUACCGUAUGCAAAUAUAGUGGCUUAUGGGUCAUCAAUUGAGGUAUGUAAUGUGAGAUUAUUUCUUGGGUCGUCAAUUAAGCUCAUAAAUUUUAUUUCUCUUUGAUAUCAAUACAUCGUUUCUCUUCAAAAUAUAUAUAUAUAUAUAUAUUUGAAGAACAUAUUGCAUAUAACAUCAUUGAGUAAUAUUAUAGGGUAAUGAUUUCCCCACUCCAAUUUUAUCCACUUACACUCCUUUUUUAGUUAUAAAAUGGAGUGUAAGUGGAUAAAAUUGGAGUGGGGAAAUCACCACUCAUAUUAUAUUGUUUGAUCAUAAUAUAUUUUUAUAAAUACUAAUAUAUAUAUAUAUACAUGUUAUAACAUGAGUGAAAUAACACCGUGGAAAGGCAAUAACAAAAUACCUCAAGUGGCAUUAGGGAACAGAUUUUUCUUCUUUCAUUUUUGAAAAAUGGGGGCGACUUGAGUAGGAUAAUAAAUUUGACGAAUGGAGUCAAGUUAGUAAAAUUAAGUGGGAGGAUAACUGUGGAUACUUUUAUGAAAUUGGUAAUUAACAGGUGAAAAAUCAAAGAUAAAGAAGCGUUAUCUACACAUCACGGAAGACAUCCUAAAGGCAAACCCAAACAUAUGUCGCUACAAGGCACCCUCACUGGAUCCAUGUCAGGACAUGUUGAUUCCAGAGGUACCCAAGCUUGGCAAGGAAGCGGCAUUGAAGGCCAUCGAAGAGUGGGGCCAGCCCAUUUCAAACAUCACACAUCUCAUCUUCUGCACAUCUUCCUGCGUCGACAUGCCUGGCGCCGACUUUCAACUCGUCAAGCUCCUCGGCCUUGACCCCUCUGUCAACAGAUUCAUGAUCUACCUACAAGGCUGCUUCGCUGGUGGUACUGCCCUACGUCUUGCCAAGGACGUCGCAGAAAACAACCCUGGCGCACGCGUUCUGGUGGUGUGCUGUGAGAUCACAGCUAUGUAUUUUCAAGCACCCACUGAGAGCCAUGUGGAUGUUUUGGUAGGACAGGCUUUGUUUGCAGAUGGUGCGUCGGCUUUAAUUGUUGGUGCUAAUCCUGACCCCAAAAUUAACGAACGCCCGGUGUAUGAGAUUAUGUCAACGAGAGAGACUAUUGUCCCAUACUCGGAGCAUGGCGUGGUGGUACACGUGCGUGAAAUGGGUUGCGAGUAUUAUCUUUCACCAGAUGUGCCAAAGUUGGUUGGUGCAAACAUUGAGGAGCUUUUGGUAAAAGGGUUUAGCGAAAUUGAUGGGACAAAUAAUGAUUGGAACUCGUUGUUCUAUUGCAUCCACCCUGGUGGACCGGCCAUUUUAGACAAGGUUGAAGAAAAACUGGGUCUGAAUGAGGAGAAGCUGAGAGCAACCAGGCAUGUAUUGAGGGAGUAUGGGAACAUGGGAGCUCCAUCUGUUUUGUUUAUUCUCGAUGAGAUGAGGAAGAAGUCAAUGGAGGAAGGAAAAGCCACGACUGGUGAAGGGCUGGAAUGGGGUGUUCUAAUUGGGAUCGGGCCAGGGCUAACCGUGGAGACUGUUGUACUGCGUAGUGUCCGCAUUGCUGCCUGCUAAUUAAGUCCUUAAUUACUAAUCAUGGAUUAAGGGUCAGUUUGGUAUUGCUGUAUUGUGAAAAUAAUCGCUCUCAGAUUUGCUGUGAGAGAAAGCAGUUUGUCGUUUGUUAAACUUUUUUGUUAUAAGUGUUGUGUGUACAAUAAUCAGUUUCUGAGUGUUUGGUAAAUUUUUGUGUGAAAGUGUUGUGAGCUGUGUAUAAUGAAUAAAAAGGGCAUUAUGUUGAAAUGACUUUUUUGUUCAAGUGUUUGGUAAAAAGAAAAACACUUUCACUUUAUCUUAUAUAUUUUUUUGUAUUAAAUAUGUUUCCAUCACACUCUAAAAAUUAUUUUAAUUAUAAAAUAAAUAAAAUAUUCCAUUAAAAAUAAAUAUAUUGUCAAUAAUAUGGUCAUAACAAAAAUUAAGCUAGUCAUAAACAAGCAAUCAUAUCUUUAGUCUCCUGCAGUUUUAGUCAGUUCUCCCGAUGACAAAGCCGGGAGUUAAAUGACCAGGCUGGACAAAAUGGAUGAAUUAUUGUUAUGUUUGUUGUAUCAUAUGGUUUUGUACAAGGAGUCUGUUGCAUACAAGAAUUGUAUACUACAUAGCCUGUUGUAAAGUCAUGCUUAUGGUUUAAGGUGAGAGUUAAAGUUAAAUGUUUACAAAACUGUAUUGAAAUGCAGGUGUUCAUUUAUUUUCUUUCUAACUUUUAAUUAAUUUUACUUUUAUUAUUAAUAAUAGAGCAAUUACACAUUAAAAUUGUAGGGGUUUUUUUAUUGCAGCAGCCUGACGAAUGGGUUUGGGCUGCCGAAAAGAGAAAUAGGUGAAAUUAACCCAUGUGCCUGAGUUCAAAGAUUAGACCCCAAGAAUCACUGCUACAAAAAAGCAAAAAGACGACAGUAAAUCACCGUCGUGUAUUCGAUUUUUCAAUGGUCGUGGAAUCCACCGUCAUCUUUUCCCUCAUAUACCACGACGCUAAAUCACCGUCGUUGUUAAAAUAUACAACGUCAUCAACAAAUACAAAACGACGUCUUUGUACUGCAAAAAGAUCUAAAAAAGCAGUCGAGGAUGAGAAUAGACGACCAACUCUCAAAAAAAACCGUCGUUAAAAAGGAAAAAUAUGACACAUAUUAAGAGAACAAGGUCGCAAGAUAGACAUACAACGACGGAAAUAAAAAAACGACGCCGUUAAAUAUCAUUUUCACGACAAUAAAAAAUUUGACGUCUUUAAAUACAUUAGAAGACGACGUUAUUGAUACCUACUACGUCGCAUAAUGGGUGUAUUGAAGAGAGAGAGAGAGAGAGAGAUGAGGGUAUAAUGGGUGUAUUGAGUAGUUUCUCACAGCUUGAUGAAAACUCUGUCAAGCUGUGGAACGAUUUACUAGAAGAGAAAAUGGGAGGAGAUGGAGGAAUAGGGCACGAAAUUGCAGAGGUUUCAGAUAUGAGAAAUGAAGCUUGCUCUCUGAAUGUGGUUUGAGUGAAUUUCCAGUUGCUUGACACAGCUUAGUUGCACUCUGGAUGAUGGAUUUUGCUGGGUAGAAGAAGCCUCCUUUUAUAGGCAUUGGAAGCUCCUUCUUCUCAAGAAACCCUAAUGGUUUCUAUCCAAUUUGGCCAAGUCUUUCCUCUUCUUUCUCUUCUCUUCCUUUGACUCAUCCUAUUUUGUAAAAUUCUCUCUGCCGAAUCGCACUAAAAAUAAGGUUUUGGGAGCUCUAGGCUUAUCAGUAGUGAUUUCUUAUUUUUGCCUGUCAUCUCUCCUCCUUUCCUCCCCUAUUUCAUGGCAAGAUCUGGUAAAUGAAGGAGAUAGGUAACUUUGAUUGGUCUGAAGGCUGCCUUUUCUCCUGCGCGCACCAAUAUCCUCUGGUUUUUUUAGCGAUCUGCCUUGAGGUUUGUUUUUGCCCAUGUGUUGGAAUCUCCCAGCACCCUGAGUGUACAAACAUCUCCUGGUUUUCUAUCGUGGUUUCAUUUCAAACCAUGUGCUGGAGAUUUUUUAGAUAUUUUCUAAGCCACUUGGGCUAUUUGGGCCUUCCUAAGGUGAUGGGUUAGUGUAUUAGGGGAAUGGGCCAACCUCCUAAGUGAUGGACCAUUUUUAUUGAGAUGAUGAGCUAAUUUUUCCUAAAGUAUUGGGCUAUUUCUCUCUUUUAUGCUUACCUAUAUAUUUGGGCUCAAGAAAUGGGCUUGAGUUUUAGGGCUCCCAAGCGGCCCAAAACUUCCAUUUCUCGGCUCAUCAAUGAGCCUCAUGAAAGCUCGUUACCAUCCAUACCACAACCCACUCAAGCAAGCCCGGGACAUUUGCGUGGCUUGGGCCCACUUAAGCUUGUAGCGUGGCUAGGUGUAAUAAUAAUGAUUUUUCGCUUGGCAUUGCAUGUCACUUGGCGUGCUUGAAUUUCGUAUCCAUUAAAAAGGGAUAUGAUGCUUGACGUGAUAAUUAGCAUGAGUUUGCAGAGUCAAUACCUUUUAUAGGCUUAUUUCGAUUCUUAGCAUGACGGAUUGAAUAUUUAUUUGGCACGGCACAUGGUCGUGGCUUGUGCAAGCAUGUAUGGCGAACUUUCACAUGCCCAAAUCAGGUUUCUUCUUGAUAAAGUAUCGCAUUGGGCAGAGAAUCUAUUUGGGCCCAACCCUGAAUUUUUUGGGCCUCAACAAAAAUCAUGUUCUCUAUUUUUUAGUUAAAAUUUAGCUAAAAACAUAUAAAAGAUAUUUUAGGAGCUCUCUAUAAAAUUUUAACUCCAAUCAUACUCUCUAGUUUAGGAAGUCCUAAAUGCUAUAACUCUUUUUUAAUUGGUCCAUCUUUAUAAAAAAAAAUAAUAUAAAAAAAAGUUAGCAUUAAUUAAAGGUUUAAAAUACUCAUAAAAUAAAGCAGCAUUAAAUUAUAGGGAGCCACUAGGAAUUUUUUUCUCUCUUCAGAUUUAGAAGCUCCUAGAAGUCUCCCUAUUUUAGGAGGUAGACAGGGAGCAUGGUCGGAGUUGUAUUUUUCCUAUUUCUCCCUAAAAUUUGUCUAAGGAGAUGGUUUAGGAAGCCCAUUGUGGAUGCUCUAAACAAUGCCUUUGCAGUAUCGAUCCUAUUAAAUCCUGUCAUUUAUCUUUACUGGUAUGGCUGGAACAAUAUUUUGAAUGGUCUAACAAGCAGAAUUAUAAAGCUUACUCGUUUGCUUGCGUAAGGACAUAUAAACCUUCAAACUUUAGGGGGCAUGUCAACGCCCUCAAAAAUAGUCUGCAUUGACAUUCAAGGUAUCAUGAUGCUUAAUUCUUAGCAAAGCAGCCAUUGUAUGGUAUAAUGAUGCAUGCUAGAAACAGAGCAGGUAAAACAUUCGUGGAGUAGUAAAGAACUUUUCACACAUAAGUUCAUAGAGUUUACUUUUGGUCCUUGGAGACCAUCAGAUAUUAUAACAAAUUCUGUACUUCUAUGAAAUGUUUACAAAGUAGCUGCACGGUCGUCUUAAUUGAUGGAAAAUCAGAUUUGUUUUGUUAUACCUAUUGAUCAGGCUUUACCUUGAUCUACCUUCCAUCCAUCUCUUUUGAUGAGGGAGUCAGCAAACAGAAGUCAUAUAUAACGUAACAACCACUCUAGGCUCUGUUAAAGUAAGCACAUCAUCAGCACCUAUCAACUAUCUUAAAAUGACAAUAUAUUCAAAAGAUUAAGAAAAACAGAAAAGAAAUGAUAUCCAAUUAGUUCAUGUAAUGAAGAUGUCAUAAACCUCUUGUUUACACCAUAAUCAACCGAGUGAAUUGUGAUAUUCUAAUCAAGUGAGGACUCGAGAGGUUUGCAUGUUCAGAAAUAUACUCAGACUUAUCGGAUUAUCCUUGUAUAAAAGCUAUCCUAAUUGAAGUACAAGAGAUAAUGGAAUUCCUAAUUCUAUAUGGAUUGAAACAACCUAAUUCUAAUGCAACUAGAACACUUGAUAGCCCCUUAAUGGGCAAGGCUUUCGAGUGAUGCAUAUAUAUAGAGGUCCCUUCUCUAGCAACAACACACGCUGAACACAGCUCUCACCACAUCUAGAGAAAUAGCAUUAUAGUGUUGCAUAGAGAAGAAGAUCCUCUAUAGCCAAAAUGUCUGACCAAGGUUCGUGUUAAGUUAUAAAAGUCUAGUUCAGAUUACCAUGUGGUAUUAGAGCUCUAGGCUUUUGUUUCUUAAUCUAAUCCAUGUCUUCGACAAAAUCUAUUGAAAAUUUCAAAAAUGCUUCCACCCCUAACUCAUAUGCCUUCAAUCUUCUAUCCGCGUGCAUCCAUGACUUAUCCAUCUCCGACAAUAUACCCUAUUAUUUAUAAUAAAGUGAAAAGAUGACAAACAAUGACCAUCACUAUACCAGAUUAUAAUUACUUUGAUAGAAAGUAAUUUAACAUAAAUACGACGGCUUUUUUUAAAACAUCCGACGUUUUAUAUUCAUACAGACGACGGUUUUUGAAAAAAAUGGACGUUUUAAGCUAGUAAACAGUGAUUCUAAAAAUAGCAAUACAAUUACAUACGACGGUAGUUAAAUAAACACUGCCUUGUAAAUGAAAUAAAGACAGUCGUCAAACUCUUAAAGAAAAGGAGGCUAAAUCUUCUUUUAUUCAGACCAUUUCUACGAACCCAACAUAUGUUAACAACCCAUAACAUUGAAUUUUUAUGAAAAGCAUGCAAAUAUUAAAGCCAUUCCCUAUUCAUAACAACAGAGAUUAAUGAAAAACAUACCUACAAAAACAUUAAAAGAUCGCAAAACAUAUAUCUAAAACCUAACAAUGCAGUCUAUGAUUUCAGAAUAAUCUUCUAAACCCUAAAAACCCUAUAUGUUUGUACUUUAGAACCCAGAACUGAAUAUCAAUCAAUGAAUUAAGAAGCAUGAUAUUAGGAUUUGUACUUACAGGCAGGCAGAGCUCACAGAUUAUGGCCUCCUUGGAUUUGAUGUAGGCUAGAAAGCGCAAUUUAGAAUUAGAGUUGAAGUGAGAGAGUGAAAUGUUAGCGUUUAAGUGAGAGAGCAAAGACUUAGAGCGAAAUCUAAAAAUUUUAGGACGCAACCAAAUUUUUAGAAAGCACGCUUCUUCAAACAUCGACGGAAAUAAUACAAAACUGUCGUUAAAAACACAUCGGUUAAUAUAAUAAAUACGACGUGGUAAAGCAGUAAGACGGUGGUAAAACAUAAAAUCAACGUCGAAAGAACUAAAUAAUAUUCCUGGGAUUUGGUUUUGCUGGGAUUCGAAUGCGUGUGCGCAAGGGACAGAAAAAAAAAAUGCAACACUGGCGUCAUAUACUAAACCCUAAACCCUAAACCUUAAGCAUUAAAUUAUAAAUUUGUAAAAAAAAAUUGUAAAAAAGGUUUAGGGUGGCCCUAAACCCUAAAUACCUAAACCCGUAAACCCUAAACCCUAAAUAAUAAUAUAUUUUUAAAAAAAAUUGUACAAAAAUACAAAUCUUUGAGAAAAAUAAACUAAAAAUUGUUACGGACUCCUUACGACAAUGCCGUCUAAAUUAGAUUGCUAAAACCAGUAUUUUAAAAAAAAGAAAAAAAGAUUAUCCCCACCAAUGAAUGACACAAGCCAUAUGAUUGUUUGAAGAAACUAUAAGGGAUGUUGUGAUUUAUUUGUUUAUGUGGACAUUUUUCAUUUUUAUAACUCAAAUUAAAUUUUUGAAAGCUUUAGGACAAAGAAAAUAUUUGAAUGACUGCAUAGGAGUUGUGGUGUAUUUUUUGGAAAUUUUACAAAUUUAUUAUGAAUAUUAUGAAUUAAGGUCAAUAAAAAAUUGUAAUAAACACAACAAACCACAUCGGUUUUAAACCCACAAAUGACGUUGUAUGCAGUUUAAACUUCAUUAUUUAUAUAGAUACUGACGUUGUAAAGCAUUUACGACGUCACACCUUUGACGUUGUUUUGAUACUCCUACGUCGUUUAUGGUAUCAACCGACGUGGUAAGGAGAAUAGGCGUCACAUAACCUGUUCUUAUAAAUAAACCCGACGUUGUAGUAAAGUUCAAAAGUCAGAAAAUAAGUCAAAACUGCCACGAAAGAUUUUUUAAGACGUCAGGAAUAUAGACGUCGCUUAAAUCAAAUAACGUCAUUGUAAGUAUUUCAAAAUUCAUUUGAAAUAUAAUAAAGUUGACCAGACGACGGUUUUAAAAAAGGAAGGUCGUCGAAAUUGCAUAAGACGUAGUCUGUUAUGAAGUUAUCAACGUGGUAUUUGCUUACAUGUCUCUUUGUUUUUUGUGUUAGCAACGUUGUUUAUUGUCUUUUAAAAUAUACCGUCAUGUUACGGAAGUUUACAUGUCAUUUUAUGAAUUUACCGUCAUUGGUUUAUUUUCAAGUUUCAUAAGACGACUGUUGUUGAAACAAUCAUGUCGUUGAAUGGGCAUUCAGACGACGGUUUCAGGAAUUACUUUAGUUUUAAAAACUGAAAACCAAUUUUUAUUGACAGCCAAAAAGAACAUAUACAUUAUACCCUAAACCCUAUACAAAAAAUUGUCUAUUCUAAAAAAAAAUAUGUACAUUUUUCAUAACUGUUUGUAAAAAUCCUCUACUCCAUAUGAAGGCAAACAAAAUCUGCCCAUUCUUUCCUCACUUCUUGUUUUGGGGUGGUCAAAAUUCACCCAAUUUGCCAAGGAAGAAUUCCUAGUGGGCGAAGAAUUCCUAGCGGGCGAAGAAUUCAAGGGGCCUCAAAAGGAAAGAUUUUUAAAAAGAGUUGAUAUUUGGCCAGCCCAUGGGCUGACGAAUGCCCUAUAUAAACCUCACCAAACGAAGAUAGAAGACACACAACAUCAGACAGAAAAACCUAUUUUUCAUCUCGCACUUUUCUUUUUCUAGACUUAGGAUUUUACUUUUCAUGCACCUAGUGUAGUGAGUUCUUCCUUUUCUUAGUAUAAGUUUAAAUUCUCGUUCAAUUUAUAUUUUCUUGUCAUUUAAAUUCAAGUUUAUUUCAAUUGCUUUACUUUUCAUUGUUGUUGCACUUCAAUUAAGUUUAUUUCUGAGUUCAUUUUACUUUAUCGUUCUUAUCGCGUUCAUUUCGUUCUUGCUUUAUUUAUCGCUUUGAUUUAUUUUGUCGCACUUUAAUUCUCGUCUUUACGUUAUUUAUCUUUCGCACUUUACUUUACGCAUUUGUCUUUAAAUUAUAUUUAAGUUUAAGCACCUUUACUUUACGCACUUGUUGUUCGUUUCAUUACGUUUCACCUUCAAUCUUCAUCUCCACACACUCCACAUCAUUUGGUCGCUCACAUAAAGCUAUGACCCUGAGGUAGUGAAAGAACCUAGGCCGUGAGGAGGUUCCUUGCUCGGCCGAACAAUCGUUUGAUUAAAGUCCGAUCUCGGACGCAACAUAUCCAUCUACUCACAUUCCAUUCAAGCCCAAAUUCUGAGUUUGGUGGUGGCACGCCCCGCACUCAAAAGAAGAAGGACCAAAAGUUCCUUCCGUCGGCUGCCCCAACCGAAAAGAGGGAAACACUUCUUCAAUGGCUUCUUGGGCGUAUGGUGCUUGAUCUUUGCCCUUUUCAAACUGCAAUCCAUAAAAAAUGAUUAUUUAGAAUUCAUCAAUGGUUUUGUAGGAUCUGUGACAGAGUAAAUAGAAUUACCAUCGUGGUAUAUCGAUUCAAAUGAUGGUAAUUUUAUUUUCCGUCAUACACUUGCAAAAACCACAGAAAUUAAAAUCCUAAAGUUUUCCAUUUACCUUCUUCUCAAACUCCAAAGAAGGAUCUGUGAUGAUGUCUCUCAUAAAGCGCAUGACAUAAUAGCCAUACUCUACACCGCUGGGUUGCUUUGGUGUGCCUUGUAGAGUUUUCCAAAUAGGUGCUUUACGGCCUUGUCUGCCUGUGUGUGAAUUAUACAUCUUGAUAGCACUGUUUCAUGACAACAAAAUGUUAUUGAAAAAAGAAAAAAAACUACAAACACACAUUACACUUUAGUAGAUCAACUUACGUGUUCACUAUGUUUUUGCCCUCGUCAUCAACCACUCGAUUAUCGGGUAGUGGAUCUAGAAAAUACAGUCUCCCUCUUUGGUCUCACAAUGACCAAGACCCAAUGACGGCUACACAAAAUAAACAUAGGGGUUAAAUAGUUUUAUAUACACUGCAUCAUACGAAGAAUAUCGUGUUGACUAACGUACCCUGGAUUGUAAGGCAUAAAGAAAAUAUGUUCCCCAUCUGUCUUUUGAAGUCUAUUGGCUAACAAACGUGAUCUUUGAGUUUAUGAUCUAGAGUUAGCCCUAACUUGAGCGGGGUCACCAAAGCCAACCAUGUUCACCAUAUUUGCUGUUUUCAAAACAUCAAAUAGGCAUAACAUAUAUGAAAUGAUGUCAUGAGUUUUUUAAUUUUUUUUAAAAGAAAGGAGAGUGUGAAAUGACAAUGAAUUGAUAAGGACAAACCUCAUGUAUACAGCAACCACAGUAGCCCCAAUUUCAUCCAUGGCUGCAAACUGUGUAAUAUCUUCAAUCAAGACGAAGGUUUGACGCUCAAAACCAAACACCUCCUUCUCAAUUGUAAAUAUCAUAGCCUUCUCAUGUCAUUUUUAAUGUCGUCUCCAUAUAAUGACAAAAGGAGUGUAAAGAAGAUGGCAAGACAAGGUUUGAGUAAUCUGGUACUUGUUGUUCCUUCUCAGAAACGUCCAAGAACUUGUCUUUCUGCUUGAAGAAAUAAGGAAAUAUAUAUAAUACAUAAUUGAAAAAACUAGAGUAAACUACACAAAAUUAAACAUCGUGGUAAUUCAAUUGAAAAAACUAGAGUAAACUGCACAAAAUUAAACAUCGUGGUAAUUCAAAUAAAACGACGGGGAAGACACAAAAACGACGUGUCAAUUGAAUAACCACGACGGUAAGUAAAAACCGUCGUCGUAUGUAUCAAUUGCGUGGGUAGAAAACAAAGCCCUAGAACAUGAAAUACAGAUAUAUAUAUAUAUAUAUAUAUAUAUAUAGAGAGAGAGAGAGAGAGAGAGAGAGAGAGAGAGAGAUAUAUAUAUAUAGAGAGAGAGAGAGAGAGAGAGAGAUAGAGAGAGGAACACAGUGAGUGAAGAAAGAUUGAAAAAUAAUUAAAUUAUGACACUAUCUGAAUCCACAAUACCGUCGUGGUACUAGAAUUCCAACGACGGGUUAUUUAAAAAAUAGACGUAAUAUGAAGUUAAAACGACGGUAAGUAAAAACAUUCGUCUUAUGAUUUUAUUACGUCAGUAUAAAACAGAGCCCUCCAAAAUUAACAAAUGCAAUUAUCAACAUAAAAGCAUGCGUUAGCAGAAAUGCAGAUAACAUCAAUUGCAGAUAAAGAGAGAGAGAGAGAGAGAAAGAGAGAGCGGGAUAGAGUGAGUGAAGAAAGAUUGAAAAAAAUAAGAAUAAAGAAUUGGCAAACUCUAAAUCCCCAAUACCGUCGUGGUAUUUAAAUGACGACGACAUCAUAUUAAAAAAAAUAGACGUGGUAUGGUAUUUAAUACGUCGUUAACCAAAAAACGACGUCUUAUGUCAUAUCUAACGACGAUAUUGAACCCAGCGACGCAUAUGUAAUUCCAAAUAAGAAAGAAUUUCAAAUUUCAGAGAAUUUACCAUUUCAUCUUGCUAUUCUGUAUCCUUGGAUUUCAGUUUUACGAAAUAAAGAAAGAUAGAUAAGACAGCUUGUACAAGAAUGAAAAGUUGCACAAACAUACCGUCGUGGUAAGGAAUACACACGACAGUUAAUAAAAGAAAACGACGUCUAAUUUAAAUUGAGACGACGGUAAAUAAAAGACAUCGUUGUGGGUUGUUUCUAACGUCUGUAAUUAAGAUAAUCACGUCUAAUUGGUUUUCAAAAGCAGUAUGCAGAGUUCAUAGAAGUUAGCAUUUCUUGUUGCUUUUCUCCAUCUUUGGCAUUAUCAUCCUCAAAAUUGAGGGCUUUGACAUCCAGCGCCCCAGAGCAGCUUGCUUUAUCCGACAUUGGAUUUUUGGGACUUUGCUCAGGACCUUGGAUAGUUGUCAGUUUCAGCACGCUUGGAUCAAAAUUUGGAAUUAGUUGGCGCGGCUGAUUCAGCAAAUUCUUCAUCUCAACUUCUACCAAUUGCUUGGUUUUAGCCUCCAUCUUCAAGGUCUCUUCUUUAAGGACAUCUCUUUACCCUCUGUUGUCUAGGUAAAUUGAAGUAUUGCCUAGUGAAAAUCCCAGCCCCAACACUUCUAACUCUCCCUGGAUGCUCGGGACCCAAAGUCAUUGUCAACACAUCAUUACUUCCAGAGACAGUUAGAGUGCCUUCACUGACUUGUUUUUGCAAUUCAUCCUAAUUAACACAAAGAUACAUUAAAGUCAAUAAAAACAGAAAGUUAGUUCCAUAUGCAAGUCUAAUUAAAAUUUUAAUGCAGUUUAAUAAAAAUUUAAAACAUAGUGAAGUGAAUUUAGACUUACAAUUAAUUUUUCUUUCUCCGCAACCUUUGGAUCGGGGUUGUUACCGUGUUUGUCUUCUCUAGCUUUCUUCCACAAGAUAGAUCGAUGAAUUUCUACCUCUGGCAUGCUUUCUUCCAAAUCAUCCUCCAAACCAACAUAUCCUUUUCGAGACAAUCGAUGAUUGUACUCACAUUUCUCUCUCCUCUGUGCUUGUUUAGCAUGGACAUACUCAAAUUGUUCAGAUAACCUUGAAGCUACAAAGGCAUCCCAGUCUGCUUUCUCUAUGAAUUUAUAUAAUUCAGGGGGUUGUCUUAACUUCUCCUUCUCAUUGAUGAAUGGAAGGAUAUGAUGUCUCGUUAAUGUAGACUUGAAAUCCUUCCAUUUCUUGCCAGCAGAUGAUAACACCAUUUUUUUACCCCCUUCCCUACCACAUAAGCCAUGUCAACGGCUUCCCAAAUAUGCUCUUUUAUAUCCUUGGGGAUUUCAGUCCAUUUCUUGUCUCCAAUUGGGACUUUGGACUGUGCCAAAACACCAAUGUAGGACUGCAUCUCAGUAUGUGCAAGGCCAUAUGGUUUCCCCCUUUUGUUGUACUCAAUAAUUGGCUUGAUUUUCUGCAAUUUUCUCUUCACAACAAGAGGCAUUGUGUUUAUACCACGACUAGACUUUGGCUCCCCAGAAAAUGUUGUUGUGCUGCCUGGUUUUGUCUCAGCAGAUAAAACAAAUUUCAUCUUCUUCGAGGGCUUGGUUUGGCUUUUUGAAACUUUAAGCUCCUUACAUUCAUUUUUAUUCAAGCUAGAAUGCUUACUUGGCGCUUGAGAAACCAUGGUUACAGAGAAAUCAGACCUGCAAGUAGAGAAAAAAUAAAAUAAAAGUCAAUAAAAAAAAACGACGCUUAUUUUAAAAAAAACAAAGUAGUAUAAAAUUUCAUACAACUGAAUAUAAAAACAAGUGACGCAAUAAGAUUUAUAUAACGGCGGUAGUUAACAAUCGACGUAGUUUGAAAGUAAAACGACUUAAAUUUCGAAUUUUCCCGACGGUACUAAGAAAACAUCGUGGUUUUACAUUACAACGAUGUAAAAUAUAAAAAAAACCUCGUCUUGUUAAAAUGUAAUACAAAAUACAGAGCAUUGUUUCCAAAUCUUUUGGUUCUUGUCUUUAUAUUUGGAAAAACUUAAAUUGAUUUUCAAUUGGAAAAAAGUAAAAAUAUUUUUCAACAAACGUCGUGGUUUUCAAUUACAACGACGUUAGUAAUAAAAUACCGUCAUCUUAUUAAUAUGAAAUUCAAAAACUGUUCCAAGACCGUUUGGUUUACUACUUCAAACACACAAAAAACAGAGUAGAUUUUAUUAUCGUGGUCAAUGACACUUUGUUCUUUGUCAAUAGAUUUUAUCCAAAAAGUUAAAUGAUUUUUGCAUGAACAGGAACAAAGAUGAGAAAUGCAAAACAAAUUAUAUGCAUAUGCAAAACAGGAACAAAGAUGAGAAAUGCUUACUUUUUGCUUGCAGUGAAAGUUUUCUCUUGGAGUUGCAAAACAGGAACAAAAAUGAUUUUUCAGGCACCAAGACGAAGAGGAGAGGAAGCCGAUGAGAUUCAGACACGGCGCUUUGGGAAGGAAAAAUGAGGACAGUGUGAAAUUUUUUCUCGGUUUUGAAAACAGUAUAAGUAUAGGUCAGGAAAUGUGAAAAGUUUAAAAUAUUAACUAACUGUUUCAUAACACGACGCUAUUAAUAACAAUUGCCCUAGUAAACUGUUUUACACGGCGGUAAAUAUGUGGUUUACGCCCUGGUAAAUAAUAUCAAACGACACACACUUUUCCGACGUAGUUAGUUUAACAUAUGCGUUAGCAGCGUUAUAGAUGUCGUCGUAGUAUAUUUUAAAUAAUAAGUCGGUAAGUUUAUCAAUACUGACGUCUUUACUUUCUAUGUCAAUUACUUAAUAGAUUGUCGUUGGUUUUUUCGCUUUGAGAACAAGACGAUGCAUGUUAGUUAUUGUGUCGUGGUUUCUCUGAAAACCCGCCCUAAUAUGUCUUUACUAUGUCGUUAAACUAAUAGAAACCGACGUGGUUAGGAUUUUAUACGACUAGAGGGUUGGUACGAUCCGACGUAGAGUCCUUUGUUAAAUGGCGGUAGGUGUAAUAUAACCGACGUGGAUGUGGAGAUUUUUUUUAUAAAUUGAGUUUUUUUUCACGCGUUCUUUCAGUUUCAGUUUUCAAUUAGGGUUCCAACUUCUUCUUGCCCUUGGCUCUGUCUCAUCUCUUAGGAGGAAAUUGUUUGGAUGUUGAUGUGUGUGUGCGUUUGUGUAUCUGAAAGACACAAAUAUGCACACAUCAUCAACUUCCAAAAAAUUGUCUCUCUGAAUCUGCGGCUGCCAUCGUCAAAUUUUAGAGGCAAAUUUUUGGAUGUUGAUGUGUAUGUGCCUUUGUGUAAAGACACGAAGACACACAUCAUCAAUGUCUAAAAUAUUGUCUUUCUCUCACAUUGGUGGUCCGAUUAUGAUGAGGAACAGAGUUCCCUCUGGUAAGAUUUCGUAUCUCUUGGGAUCUCAUAAAAAUAUGAUUAUGUCGGCAUUUUUCUAUAUAAACCGUCGUGGUUAUUCUCAAUUCUUGUCAUUAUGUUGAUCUACCGUCGUAGGAUACCAAAAUCUAACAAAUAAAUAGCAAAAAAAUUAAUAUUAAGACGACGGUUUAGGUAUAAGGUUAGACGUAUAGAGUGAAUAAUUACGAAGGUAAUUUUAACUUCACAAUGUGGUAAAUUUUAUUAUACGGCGUUAAUUGAACAAAUCAACGUGGUUAGAGUUAUAGAUACCGUCGUAGUACGCUACAAAAAAUAAGUCGAUAAAUUUGUCAUUACCGUCAUUGUACAUUUAUUUAAUACGGCGGUAUUUUGUAAUAUACCGACGUGGAUUUUUUGAAAUUAUACGGCGCCAAAUACGAAAACUUGGUCGUGUUUAUUACGGAGUAAAAAUAGCAGAUUUUGUUGUACACCGUUGUCUUUACUUUCUACGUCGGUGGUUUCAUACCUUCUGCCAUUGUUUUUGGGCUCAGAGUUUACCUCUAAAGAAAACCUUUUUAAUAAGACGAUGCAUUUUUAAUUUGGUUCAUCGUUUUUUAAAAACACCCAUUAGAAUCUCUAUUUUUUAGGUGUUUAAGUUAAUCAUACACGGUGGUUUUAUAACACCGUCGUCUUUUCAAACACAAUAAUGGUUUUUCGUUAAACCGUCAUUUUUUUCUGGUCGUCUUUUUCACUUUUUGUAAUAGUGAUUUGCUCCAAACCACUACACUAAUGGGUCCUUUUUAUUGAUUAAACUUCUUAAUCAAUCAUUCGAAUAGAUUUAAUAAUUAAUCAUAAUUGGUAGUUAAUAGGACAAUGGUCUCUGUGGGAACAAUCAGGGGCGGCCCUGGGGUGGUGCAAGUGGCGCCACCGCACAGGGCCCCCGAAAAAAAAUUAUUUAUAUUAUAUGUAUAUUAAUAUUAUAUGAAUGAUAUAUAUAGUAUAGCGUCUGGAUAUUUGCACAACAGCGUGUUCAAGGGAGUUGGAUGGAGCGCAUCUCUCUUUGGCAAAAGGGCCCGAGUUCGAUGCUCCUUGAUGUCGUUCUAUAAAAUAAAAAAACAGAAAGCCUUUAACAAAUAGGCAACAUGGAAGCUUAACUUAACCACACCAAAGGAGGAAUAUAUAUGAUAUAUCCCCCUUCUUACAAAUAAAAUAAAAAAAAGGUUUUAUCUUCCAAGAAAAGUACUUUCUUCAUUCAAAACAUCACGAAAAAAGCUUCAUGGCUUCUUCUUUCUCUUAAACUUUGAUUUUCUAGUAAGUAAUAAUCAUUGUUCAUCAAUUUCUCUUUGGUUCUUUUUUCAAUCCUUUGACAAUUUUUGUUAUUCUUUCAAUUUCAGGAAUUUGAACACCAAAAAGAGAAAACCCUAAUUCCUGAAUUCAUAGACCACUCAAAAUCGAAUAGUCAUAUUCAAAUCUCAAUUCAAAUUCAGGUAUGUAUCUAAAUUUCAAUCUAUUCUAUAUAUUACAUGACUUAUUUUAUUAAAUUAUUAUCAUGUUGAUGAUUGGUUGUAUGAGAAUAUAGUUUGUAGAAAUAUUUAUCUAUUUCUUGUUGGGGUUUUCUUCCAGGUUAUAGGGUUUUAGAAUUUUUCUUUGUAAUCUAAACAUGCCACCUACUAGAAAAUACGUUUCUGGAUAUACAAAACGGCUUAGAAAAAGAAAAAUCGAGGAAUUGACUCAAUCUCAAAGAGGAGCUCUUGAUAGAUUCAUUGUUAGAGAAUCACAUGCUACAAUUGAUGAAAAUAUUUAAAUUUUUAUGAAUUUGAUUUCUGAUUGUCAUUGCAUAUUUACUGAUGGUGAAUUUUAGUUAUAAAUUUUUUUUUAUGACAUUAAGUUAUGGCAAAUUUUUAUAGUAUUUUCGUAUUAGAUUAUGCGAGGCCCCAAUUUAAGUUUCGCACAGGGCCCUCAAAAUCUCAGGGACGGCCCUGAGAACAAUAAUCUAUGUUAAGGCAAGAUUUAUGUGUUGGCAUGUUCCUGGCCCAAAAGCCAUGUUAUGUAAUCUUUAUAGGAUAAAUCGAGUAAGGUUCAAGUGAUGAAGAUUUGAUUAGAAGUGAUGAAGAAACAAAGGUUUUGAAGCUCUAAAGCACAAGGUUGUCUCAACUCAUGAUUAGGAAAGGUAAGUUUGACUUAUUGACCAUGCAUGCAUUCAUAGGUAGUUAGACGUUUUAUUUACGCAUCACUCGAAUUGAUGAGCAGAGUGUCUUAAAGAGCUUAGAAUAGCAUGCAAUUUUAGCAGCAUGGUCAUCUAGAUGUUACGUUUCUUGUAUAAAAGUUUCAAGGCGAAGUCCUAUUUUUGGAAAAGGCGCGCUCGAGCCGUAUACGCGAAUUUCAGUUUUCUUUUUCUGUUUUGGAGGGUUUAAAAUUAUUUUUUCUUCCUAAUCUUUUUGUACUCCUUCCUACGAUUGGUAUGAGUUUCCUAGAAACUCUAUUUUGUUUUAGGAAUUUUGUUCCUAAUCCUAUUGAGUAUUUUUACAUCUUCCUAGUUUGAUUCUAAAACAAGUUUUAAGUAUAUAAAUUCUUGGUUUUUGUAAUAGUAAAAAGACACAACUUGCACACAAUAUAUUUGUGCUUCAAACGUCAUUUCUUGAGUGAGUUCAUUGAGCAUAUAUUUAUAGUUCAAGUAGAUUGUUCCUUGUUGAAUCUACUUCAAUUAUAAUCUUCAUUUACACAUAUAUCUUGGAGUUGGUGACUUGUGCCUUGUGUGUUAUGCCAAGAAGACAAGUCUUAAUGGGUUUGUACCUCAAGGUGAUUGACGAACGACAGACGCUUGUGCCGUGCUUGAGAAGAUGAACGGAAAUCAAUUCGCGAGAUUGGGGAAGUAGCAAGAGACGUGAGGUUUGGUUGCCUUAUAGAAGAGUCAAGUAAGUUGAGUCGAGUCGAGUCAAGUCGAGUCUUUUAUGUACUUCUUGUUAUUCUUAGUGGAUUGUUUUCUGCCUGGCAAAAUGCCCGUGGUUUUUUAAUCUCAUCUUGAGAUUUUUCCAAGUUCAAAUUCGUUGCGUACUUUAAUUGAUUUAAUUUUCAAUUUGUUAAGAUUAAAAUUGAACUUAAAAUCUGAUAAAAGCCUAUUCACACUUUCUUAAGCUAUUGGGUGGUUUAGCCAUGCAAUUUCAAUUGGUAUCCAAGCAGGUUGAUGGGUAUAUUUUAUAUUAUAUAUUUAACCAUAUUCUUAGUAUAUUUUGGUUAAUAUUUUGGAAGAAUUUUGAUACUUUGAAUUAUAUUUCUAAUAUAGGACUUUCGACUUCCUCUGGAGCGAAACAUAAUCAAAUGGACGAAUUUUAGAGUAAUUCUAGUUGGAGGACGUUCAUGAGUCACUUAGCUUGAUGAUAUCAAAAUUUCAGAUUUUUCUACUAUGCGGUUACUUUCUGGCAAUAAAAUAAAGGAACAGAGCGUGGUGCUGUAAUAGUGACGUUUUGGGAUUUUAUUGCAUUUUUGGAGCCCUAGAGGACCUCGGAUGGGUUCGUGGCCUUCUGGAGAAGUGUUCAGAAUAUUUUUAUCUUUAAAACAAGCUAUCUUGGGCUAGAUUUGGAGGAGAUUUGAUGCCAAAACGUGGCUGGGCAGAUUUUGGGCAGAUUCUCCUAAUCCAAUUUGGACUUUAUUUCCUAGUAUUGUUUUAUUUUAAUUAGUUUCCUUGUGGGGAUAGAAAAGCUAUACAUUGGCAGCUAGGUUUUAAGGGGUAUCUAAGCUCUUUCACACAAGAAUUUUGAGGGACUUCUUUUUGGCUAAAGGAGGAAUUGCUAGGGUUUUGGGUUUUUGC
rnacentral:lncRNA from 1 species